GAACGAAAGAUGAAAAGAACUUUAAAACAGAGGGUGAAAAGUUCCUGAACUUGCUUAGGGUUAAGGCUAUUUAUAGUACCCGUCUUGAAACACGGAUUAGGGAGUUUAUCUGUAGUGCGAGUCUUUGCACGUUAACUGUAAAGGCGUAGAGAAAGCAACUGGCGUUUGCAUGGCUACUGAGCAUUACUGAUAGGACCCGAAAGGUGGUGAACUUUGCCUGCACAGGUUGAAGUCAGGGGAAACUCUGAUGGAGGACCGUACGGGUUAUUGAUGUGCAAAUCAUUUUUCUGAUGUAGGUAAAGGUGCGAAAGACUCAUCGAACCACCUAAUAGCUGGUUUCCUCCGAAGUUUCCCUCAGGAUAGCUGUAAUGCAUUUAGUUAAGGGGAGUAGAGAUAUGGGUAGAGGUGCAGGGAGCCUUCGGGUUCUCAACUUAUUUCCAAACUUCGAACCUCCUUGUUAGGCAUUUACCUAACUGGAAAUGCUUAAAUGAAUUAGCGUUACAAGUGGGCUCUGACCGGUAAGCGGUCAUGGCGAAAUGGGAUGAACCAUACGUCUGAAUAAGGUGCCGAAAUGUACUAUCACUGAUACCAUAAAGGGAGUCCAUGUAUUUAGACAGCAGGUCGGUGCCCCUAAAAGCAGGUAUCCGCUAAAGAGUGUGUUAAAACUCACCUGCCGAAUACUAGGGCCCCGAAAAUGAAUGGCGCAUAUAGUACUACCGAUCUCAGACAUCAGUUCUAUUGAACUGAGAGUAGGGGGAUGUGGACAUUUUUGUGAAGGUGCAAUGUGAGUUGGACUGGAAGAAUGUCUAUUACAGAUCCUAAUUGAAGUAGCGAUUAUCCAGGCUUGUAUCCUGGGGGCUGAUGAGGAGUAGGGUUUCUGGACAACUUAAACAGAUCCAGAGUUAGUCGAUCCUAAUCUCAAUAAUGGGAGAAAGGGAGUACAGUUGAUAUUCUGUAACUGACAACAGUUCGCGGCAACGCAUACUAUUUUCUCCGCCAAUCUUAUACCGUUGGUAG
rnacentral:ncRNA from 2 species